rnacentral:misc_RNA from 1 species
GUGAAUCAUCGAAUUUUUGAACGCAAAUUGCACUCUCUGGUAUUCCGGAGAGUAUGCCUGUUUGAGGGUCAGUUUAACUAAAAAUCGCUUUGUUCGCUGCCUUUCUUGGUGACUCGCCGGAUUUGGGUCUUCUUGCCUUCGGUUAAGUUACCUCACAUUUUUCAUCUUUUUUUCGAACGCAUUUAACUUAUUUUACGUACGUUUCCGAUACCUAAUACUAUGUGUGGUCAUCAUCAUGAUUCGCGCCUAUAAUUUCUCUUCCAAAUUACCUCAAACCAGGUCAGCUUACCCU